rnacentral:rRNA from 1 species
AUUGAACGCUGGCGGCAUGCCUUACACAUGUAAGUCGAACGGCAGCGGGGACUUCGGUCCGCCGGCGAGUGGCGAACGGGUGAGUAAUGUAUCGGAACGUACCAUUGAGUGGGGGAUGACGUAGCGAAAGUUACGCUAAUAACGCAUAUUCUCUCCGGAGGAAAGCAGGGGACCGCAAGGCCUUGCGCUCUUUGAGCGGACGAUAUCAGAUUAGCUAGGUGGCGAGGUAACGGCUCACCAAGGCGACGAUCUGUCGCGGGUCUGAGAGGAUGAUCCGCCACACUGGAACUGAGACACGGUCCAGACUCCUACGGGAGGCAGCUGUGGGGAAUUUUGGACAAUGGGGGCAACCCUGAUCCAGCCAUGCCGCGUGAGUGAAGAAGGCCUUCGGGUUGUAAAGCUCUUUCGGCCGGGAAAAAAUCGCAUGGGCUAAUAUCCUGUGUGGAUGAUGGUACCGGAAUAAGAAGCACCGGCUAACUACGUGCCAGCCGCCGCGGUAA